GUUUAAGGUUCUCUUUGAUUCGAUAUAGAGUAAAAGAGCUAAGAGGGAAUCCGGUCCAGAUAUGAACUAAAGCCGGAGCUGCCCCCGCAACUGUAAAUGGUUAGUGAUGGUCGAUAAACCACUGGAGUUUUUUCUCCGGGAAGGUGACCUUAGCGCAAAAAGCCAUGAGCCAGGAGACCUGCCUUGAAUAAAAA
rnacentral:ncRNA from 1 species